UCCAAGAACCGCCUUUUCCAGCUUCUGGUGGCCCCAGGCAUUCCUUGGCUUGUGGCUGUGUCCCUCCAAUCUCUGCUUCCAUCUUCUUCCCUGUGUGUCUCAGAUCUCCUUUUUCCUCUCUCUUAUAAGAACCCCUGUUGCUAGAUUUAGGGCCAACCUGGAUAAUCAGAAUAUCUCAUCUUGAGACCCUUAACUUCAUUACAUCUGCAAAGAUCCUUUUACAAAUAAGGUCACAUUUACAGAUUCCGAGUGGACCUAUCUUUUAGGGGGUCAACACUCAACACACUAUAGUAUAAAUAUUAGGAUUUCCCAUCAACACUAAGAUCACAGGCCACAUCACCCGCGUCUUCUCUGGGCCAGGCCUCUGCAGAGCACCCACAGACCUAAGUGCCCACAGCUGGGACAGGAGGCCAGACCACAGCUUAGAUCAACUCUCCGGAACUCAUGGGGAAAGCGGUCCUGGAGAUCAGGUGACCCAACCCCGUCACUAGCCUGGCAGGGGAAAGGGAGGCCCCCAGAGGAGGCCUUCCCGGGGUAGGCAGGCUCUUCCCUGAGAUCUCCCUCCUGCUGCCUCUCAGCAGGCCUUGAGAGGGCAUCUCGUGUGUGCCUGGGCAGUGCUCGCUGCUGGGACAAUUGUUACAUAAAGCCCCCCCUCUCCCUUGUGGUCUCUCCCGGCAGCCACAGGCGUCAUCCUGCUCCUGCUCCUGCUCUCGGGGCUGCCCAGACUUCGAUAAGGGGAUGCAGAGGGUUCUCCCAUUGCCCGACAGCCCAGAGACACACACACUAGCAGGAGGCAGUGGACCCUGAAGCUAAAGUCCUGGGUUCGAGCCCUGACUACCAGGCCUGUCAUUUCAGGCCACUUCAUUGAGGUAAAAUGGCAGCAGUAAGCCUAAUCAGGUUGUGAAGCACUUGCGGCAGGGAAGUGGAAACGUUUUGCAACCUGCAAGGGGCCCUGCAGGAGGCACUCAUAGAGAUGCCGGGCCACUCCUCCCACCCGCAUGGCCUUGGGGCUGGGACUGAUCUGUCUCCUGCAUUAGAUGGCACAAACUGUUGCCCCUCAUGCUGGGAAAAGCAAGGACUGAGGAGAAAGCGAGGGCUGCGGGGGAGGACGGCGGGGGGAGGCCCGUGCAAAGCUCAGCCCCCCUCGCACAUUUCUAAGAACACAGUGAUGAGCCAGAAAAGAGAAAGACCAUGUCUUUCACCAAAGGGGGGAGGGGACAACCCAGUGACCAAUUUCGGUGAUUAGCUGCAAGAAGAGGGCCCUUUAUUCCAGGCGUGUGUAUGCCUUUUAAUUUCCUCUUGUGGGUUCCUGAGGGGGCCCAGUAACCGUGCAAUUGGUAUUCCUCGCCAGCCUCGAAGGAUGUGGACACUCUCUCGGAGAUGGCUCCAGGUGGUACGGAGUGCCACCUGCACUCCCAGCUUCCCGAUUAGCUGCUCUGCACCAACCUCCUCGGGGCAGGGGAGGGGAGGCAGCGGACCGGACCGGGUCUGCCCCCGGUUCAGAUGGGUCUUCUCCAGGCUGGAGGCAGCAGCAGCCAGGUCCGAGUUGACCUUGGCACCUCCCCUGCUUUGUGCGAGACAAAAUAAAAAAUGUACAAUUGGUGACAAAGGGACAUGACCCCCUUAAGCAAUUGUAGGCCCAGAAGUUACAAAGCAGGCCAAUUAGGGGGCGGUGAUUUGCAUUACAAGAAGACCCUUUGCUUCAUAAAAGGAGUUCUCAGUGGGCUGCAAUAGGUUGCGCCCCAGGGGGGUUAAAGAUUCAAUUUACAGAACAGUGAUUCGCCCACAACUCUCCCACAGCACGCCCCUUUGUGUAAACGAGUGCAUCUGUACUGACUUUUGACCAGCCUCCCAGUCCUGAGAUUUGUUGUUUCGCAAACGACACAGGCAGUCCUUACACUAGCUCACACGCACACACGCCUGCUUUGCCGUGCCCUGCCAAUUUCUCAAAAACAGAAGAUGCGGCUCCUCCCCAGGCUGGCACCUGGCUUUGAAGAUGUUGGAGAUGCGGCUGAUGGCCUGUGUUCCUGUAAAGAAGGGCAUCUCAAAGUCACCUGCCGCACCAUCUAAGCGCUCAGAUGGCCAGGAACCUGCUCGGUGGAACAGCCCAGUGCAGAGGGGGCAGAAGCCCAAAGUUAGUUUCAUUUGGCUGAAGUCAAGAUGUCAACAAGCUGGCUCCUUCUGGAGGCUCUGAGGGGAGAAUCCAUUUCCUUGGCCUUUUCCAGCUUCUGGUGGCUGCCUGCAUUCCUUGGCUCGUGGCCCCAUCCUCCAUCUUCAAAGUGCAUCACUCCAACCUCUGCUUCUGACAUCACGUGGCCUUCUCCUCUUCUGUCUGUGUCAAAUCUCCCUCAGCUUCCCUCUUAUAAGGACACUUGUGAUGGCAUUUAGGGCCCAUCCAGAAAAUUCAGGCUAAUCUCUCCUUCUCAAGAUCCUUUAUUUAAUCACACCUGCAAAGUCCCCUCUGCCGUAUAACAUUCACUGGUUGCAGGGAUUGGGACAUGGACAUCUUUGGGGGCCAGUAUUCAGCCUCUGACACGAGGUUCGGGUCUUUGGGCAGCUAAGUUGCCUCACCUCUCUGAACUUUAGAAUUCUCAUUUGUACAAAAGGGAUGAGGCUCCUGUCCUGCUGACCUCUGGGCUUAAUGAGAGGUUCCAGAGAGGUGGUAGAGGUCAUGGCUUUUUGUAAAAUGUUAAAUGAAGACCGGUAUAAGUACUGAGGUUCGUUCUUGUUGCCUUUUCUGUGAAGCUGAGACCCCUCAGUUCAGUCACACACAGCCCAGAAACUCUGCCUCCACAGCCUUCUCCAGGUGUGUCUUGAUAGAUGCUCUCCAAGUUGAACUUUAGGCAGACUGGCUCCUCCCACCCUGUCACAAUGAGUGACAGGGAGAGUGGAAGGUCCUUCGGUGGGUGGCAGCCAUUUUGGCUUUGAUCCCAGGCACUGUCGAGUGAUCAUCUCAGUUGGCCAAAGUUUCCCUUCCCACUCUGCUGUGUGGUGGUUCCAGUGAGGCCCACAUGUUUAUACAUCAUAAGGAUAAAGCCCUAAGCACAGUGGUUGGCACAGAGGAAAUGGCACACAAUCAUUCUUCUCUGAGAAGCAGUUAAAGCAGCCUGUGCUCGUCACCCCUUUGGUACUUCUGGAACCAUCCUUUACUUCUUCCAUAAGAUCACGACCAACAGCCACAGUGGCAAGGCAUGAGUACUUCUUGGCGUUGGUGCUAUCCUGGCCCUCUGCCAGUUGCUGUCCACGGUCACUUUGGUGGAUCAGGCCUUACUGUCAGUCUCCGCCGACCAGCCUGACUGGGGGCAGGUCACAGUUUGUCCAGCAGCGGAUAGGAGGUAGGCAACGGCUGGCGAAGGCUGUAUGGAGACAUUGGCAAAACACCCUGGGCGCAUGGCUUCAGCUGGCUCCUGGGGCUUGGCAGACACCGUGCAGAUUAGCAGCAAGCUUUCCAAGGGAAACAGUUGUCUCUACCCAAACCCAGGGGAGUUGCAUCUGCUCCCACCUUGGGGGGGCUCAGCUAAGCCUGUGAGAAACUGAGAACAGGAAGACUCUUUCUGAACAUGGCCCUCCGACUCCUUCUUCAUGCCAGCGUGGAGACGGGAUCAGGCCGGGGCAGGGGGGGUGGGGGGGAAGGCAGGGGAGGGGAGGAGGAUUGGUAAGGAGAACUUGGCCAUUAUUCCACAAGACAGCCAGGCUGGCAGCUUUCUCUGUGGGUGCUGCCCGUCCCAGUCCUGGUCUCUGACCUUUUCCUGAGGGGCCCUGUCAUCUACAAAGCACAGCACCAUUUCCCAGGGCCUUCUCCAGCCAUCUUCAUCACUGCGGUGCCCUACAGACCUGAAGAAAGGCAGGACAGUGACACUUUUUCCAUUUUACAGGUCGGGAGACGAGCCAGGGGGAAUUAACCUGCCCAGAUCACACACACGCACAUGGAACUGGCAGCAGACUUCCCAUGCCCAAACCCAGUCUUUGGAUUGUGGUCUAGCACUGUCUGUCUGAAUGCAGGAGGCCACACAGCACUGUUGGCUGAAACGUUAUCAGCUUAUUCUCCUUGUGCAUUCUGCAUGCGAUUCCACGCAUACUCAUUUCCACUCUAGAGCAGCUCUGUCGUUUGGAAGGCCCGCUCCACGUGAUGUGCCCAAUUACUUUGAUGUCUGAAUUAGUCAUUCUGUUUCUCUAACAGUUUCGCCGUGGAUUUUUCCAGAGACAACACGAUGUGAUAUCACAACAGAUUGAAUGCAGACGCAGUUACAAGAAUCCAGCUGUCUUGUAUUAAGCCUGACAUUAAAGAGAUUUACAAAAACGUAAAA